GACGGAGGAUGCAAGCGUUAUCCGGAAUGAUUGGGCGUAAAGCGUCUGCAGGUGGCAGUUCAAGUCUGCUGUCAAAGACCGGGGCUUAACUUCGGAAAGGCAGUGGAAACUGAACAGCUAGAGUAUGGUAGGGGCAGAGGGAAUUCCUGGUGUAGCGGUGAAAUGCGUAGAGAUCAGGAAGAACAUCGGUGGCGAAGGCAGGUCUCUGGGCCACUACUGACGCUGAGAAGCGAAAGCAUGGGGAGCGAACAGG
rnacentral:rRNA from 1 species